UUCAGUGUUUUACAUGAAUAAAAGUUAAAGAGUUUGGAUCAUAAAUACAUGUGCAAUGUAACUUUGAAGUGAAAAGUUAGGUUUAAAAGGUUAGAAGUACAAUUCAUAGUGUACCAAAUUCCCAGUCAGGCAUAGUUAGGGGCAGCCACUGCUGCUGUUGGGUCCUAGCUGGGUCCUUACCUGUUUACUAGCACCUGGCUCAUGAUGCUAUAAUGUUACUACUGGGCCUAAUUACACACUCUGCCAAACAGAGAGGCAAAUAGUAUCAAUUUGUCAUUAUAAUAGUCACACUUCUCCAGAAACGUGUUGGUGGAGUGUGGGAAGUAAAAUGAGGAAAAGAGGAAAGUGAUAUGAACAACAGAAAAACCCAAAAUCCAAUUCAACACUUAAAAUCUCACUGGGACUUUAAGGGAAAUAGAUUAGCCAUAAAAUCAAAGAGGAAGAUGAAGAAAGAGAAAAACGUGCCAAGAUAUGUGUCACUGACAAAAUUUGGAUCGUCAUCAAAGUGUGCUCCUCUACGGAGCAAGGCAUCCACAAGCCAACUACACCCUUCAGAAGUAAGAAAUCCUGUGUUUGCUCCAAGGAUUACAUUACCACACCAGAGGACAGACAGACCCACGGGCAGACAAACAGCAUCACCACCCAAGGUGUGUUUGGAGGCAGUGAUCUCCGUGUGAUGCACCCACUCAGCAUAAAGAGGAGCAGGAGGAGGAGGAGGAGAAGGAGGCUGAGUCUUUAGUGACAAUAGCCCCCCUCUCGAUGCUCUCCGUGGGUGUGGGUGGGGGGCAUUUAAAGCCUUUUCAGCCCCUGGCAAGACCCCCCGAAGAUGCCCCCACAUUCUGAGGAUGACUACCUGCCCAGGAGCCCCUCUCUCUGCCCAUCUGUCUCCUCCAGAGGCCAAAGGAGGGUACCUCCUCCUACCUCUUUCACCCCCCCUCCCACACACA